ACGGAAUAGCUCAGUUGGGAGAGCGUUAGACUGAAGUUGUUUACGCAACAGUCAUCUGAAGGCCCCCGGUUCAAUCCCAGGUUCGUA
rnacentral:tRNA from 1 species